rnacentral:rRNA from 1 species
UACGUAGGGGGCAAGCGUUGUCCGGAUUUAUUGGGCGUAAAGAGCGUGUAGGCGGCCAGGUAGGUCUGCUGUGAAAACUCGAGGCUUAACCUCGAGCUGUCGGCGGAAACCAUCUGGCUAGAGUCCGGAAAGAGGAGAAUGGAAUUCCCGGUGUAGCGGUGAAAUGCGCAGAUAUCGGGAAGAACACCCGUGGCGAAAGG